rnacentral:rRNA from 1 species
AGGGCGCACGGUGGAUGCCUUGGCACUAGGAGCCGAUGAAGGACGGGACUAACACCGAUAUGCUUCGGGGAGCUGUAAGUAAGCUUUGAUCCGGAGAUUUCCGAAUGGGGAAACCCAACAUCUUUUAUAGGAUGUUACUUUUCAGUGAAUACAUAGCUGAUUAGAGGUAGACGCAGAGAACUGAAACAUCUAAGUACCUGCAGGAAGAGAAAGAAAAAUCGAUUCCCUGAGUAGCGGCGAGCGAAACGGGAAAAGCCCAAACCAAGAGGCUUGCCUCUUGGGGUUGUAGGACUCCGAUAUGGUAGUCCAGUGAGAUAGUCGAAGGACCUGGAAAGGUCUGCUAGAAAGGGUAAAAGCCCCGUAGACAAAAUUUGACUGGCACCUAGGAGGAUCCUGAGUACGGCGGAACACGAGGAAUUCCGUCGGAAUCCGGGAGGACCAUCUCCCAAGGCUAAAUACUCCCUAGUGACCGAUAGUGAACCAGUACCGUGAGGGAAAGGUGAAAAGCACCCCGGAAGGGGAGUGAAAUAGAUCCUGAAACCGUGUGCCUACAACAAGUUAGAGCCCGUUAAUGGGUGAUAGCGUGCCUUUUGUAGAAUGAACCGGCGAGUUACGAUUACUUGCGAGGUUAAGUUGAAAAGACGGAGCCGCAGCGAAAGCGAGUCUGAAUAGGGCGAAUGAGUAAGUGGUCGUAGACCCGAAACCAUGUGAUCUACCCAUGUCCAGGUUGAAGGUGCGGUAAAACGCACUGGAGGACCGAACCCACGUACGUUGAAAAGUGCGGGGAUGAGGUGUGGGUAGCGGAGAAAUUCCAAACGAACUUGGAGAUAGCUGGUUCUCUCCGAAAUAGCUUUAGGGCUAGCCUCAGAGUAAGAAUGAUGGAGGUAGAGCACUGUUUGGACUAGGGGCCCAUCUCGGGUUACCGAAUUCAGAUAAACUCCGAAUGCCAUCCAUUCAUCUCUGGGAGUCAGACUGUGAGUGAUAAGAUCCAUAGUCGAAAGGGAAACAGCCCAGACCACCAGCUAAGGUCCCCAAAUAACUAUUAAGUGGAAAAGGAUGUGGGGUUGCACAGACAACUAGGAUGUUGGCUUAGAAGCAGCCACCAUUUAAAGAGUGCGUAAUAGCUCACUAGUCGAGUGACCCUGCGCCGAAAAUGUACCGGGGCUAAAUAGUUUACCGAAGCUGUGGAACACACCAAUGGUGUGUUGGUAGGAGAGCGUUCUAAGGGCGUUGAAGGUAGAUCGUGAGGACUGCUGGAGCGCUUAGAAGUGAGAAUGCCGGUAUGAGUAGCGAAAGACAGGUGAGAAUCCUGUCCACCGAAUGACUAAGGUUUCCUGGGGAAGGCUCGUCCGCCCAGGGUUAGUCGGGACCUAAGCCGAGGCCGAAAGGCGUAGGCGAUGGAUAACAGGUUGAUAUUCCUGUACCCGUUGUUUUUGUUUGAGCAAUGGAGGGACGCAGGAGGCUAAGGAAUCAGACGAUUGGAAAUGUCUGUCCAAGCAAUGAGUCUUGAUGUGAGUCAAAUGCUUACAUCUCUAAGGACAAGUUGUGAUGGGGAGGGAAAUAAUAGUACCGAAGUUCCUGAUGUCACACUGCCGAGAAAAGCUUCUAGUGAGAAAACAAUGGCCCGUACCGCAAACCGACACAGGUAGUCGAGGAGAGAAUCCUAAGGUGAGCGAGAGAACUCUCGUUAAGGAACUCGGCAAAAUGACCCCGUAACUUCGGGAGAAGGGGUGCUGAUCUAACGAUCAGCCGCAGUGAAUAGGCCCAAGCGACUGUUUAUCAAAAACACAGGUCUCUGCAAAAUCGAAAGAUGACGUAUAGGGGCUGACGCCUGCCCGGUGCUGGAAGGUUAAGAGGAGUGCUUAGCGUAAGCGAAGGUACGAAUUGAAGCCCCAGUAAACGGCGGCCGUAACUAUAACGGUCCUAAGGUAGCGAAAUUCCUUGUCGGGUAAGUUCCGACCCGCACGAAAGGCGUAACGAUUUGGGCACUGUCUCAACGAGAGACUCGGUGAAAUUUUAGUACCUGUGAAGAUGCAGGUUACCCGCGACAGGACGGAAAGACCCCAUGGAGCUUUACUGCAGUUUGAUAUUGAGUGUUUGUACCACAUGUACAGGAUAGGUAGGAGCCGUAGAAGUCGGGACGCUAGUUUCGACAGAGGCGCUGGUGGGAUACUACCCUUGUGUUAUGACCACUCUAACCCGCACCACUAAUCGUGGUGGGAGACAGUGUCAGAUGGGCAGUUUGACUGGGGCGGUCGCCUCCUAAAGAGUAACGGAGGCGCCCAAAGGUUCCCUCAGAAUGGUUGGAAAUCAUUCGCAGAGUGUAAAGGCACAAGGGAGCUUGACUGCGAGACCUACAAGUCGAGCAGGGACGAAAGUCGGGCUUAGUGAUCCGGUGGUUCCGCAUGGAAGGGCCAUCGCUCAACGGAUAAAAGCUACCCUGGGGAUAACAGGCUUAUCUCCCCCAAGAGUCCACAUCGACGGGGAGGUUUGGCACCUCGAUGUCGGCUCG